UACGUAGGCAGCAAGCGUUGUUCGGAAUUACUGGGCGUAAAGAGUGUGUAGGCGGACAUUUAAGUCAGAUGUGAAAUACCCGAGCUUAACUUGGGUGCUGCAUUUGAAACUGGGUGUCUAGAGUGCAGGAGAGGUAAGUGGAAUUCCUGGUGUAGCGGUGAAAUGCGCAGAUAUCAGGAAGAACACCCGUGGCGAAGGCGGCUCUCUGGUACGUGACUGACGCUGAGACGCGAAAGCGUGGGGAGCAAACAGG
rnacentral:rRNA from 1 species